AUUCAUCAUGACCAAUUUCAAAUUUAUUCAUUCUUGAAGACGCGUUACGUAACAAAUGAUUCUGAUCAGAUAUGACGUUUGAGUUCUCCGACGGUGCCGUUUAGGUUAACGAAUGUUGGUGUUUCUUCGCAAACGAUCUCGAAGAGGGAUGAAUGGAGAAGUGAAUCGGCGUCGAAGUUGGUGUACACUUUACGUAGUCUAAUGGUAGAGUCGGUAACAACUUUGUGGCGCUGCGUUUAGACAGGGCCAUUUGCAAUCACGCUUGGUUGAACCAUUGGCAAUCAACACAUUGUUGUGCACUUUACAAACAUUGCUCUGAUCAUCAUCCGUUAGUAAUUAGUCUGAGCGAAACAGAAGUUCAGCAUGCUAUGCCGUUUCGUUUCUUCAAGGUCUGAACAAAGCAUCCUGAUUGUGAAGGCCUGAUUAAGGAGGGUUGGAAUAAACAAGUGCUUGGAAAUCCUGCAGCGUGUCUUCAAUUGAAACUGAAACGUUUGAAUGGUGCACUUAAAGUUUGGAACAAGAACGUAUUUGGUAACGUGGAUUCAAAUGUUAAGCAAGCCGUGGAUGAGGUUAUGCAAAUUCAGAACAUGAUUGAUAGCAACGGUGUGACUGAUGAGGUACAACAAAUGGAUUAUAAGGCUCAAUUGAUUCUUUCGAAAGCCCUUUUGGAUUAAGACCAGUGCUGGAAGGAGAAAGCUCGGGUGCAACAUUUCAUGCAGGGAGAUAGAAAUACAACAUAUAUUCAUCGUGUGGCGAAAAUAAAGGCAAUAACGAAGAAAAUUCAUGUGAUUCAUAGUGAAACAGCAUCAUUGACUUCCGCAACAGACAUUGAGAACCAUAUUGUGCAAUACUUUCAGGGUAUCUUUGCCAACAGAAUGCGUGCACUGUUAAUAGCAUGGUGUGUGAUAUUAUUCCCUCGCUUGUAACGGAUGUGGAGACUGAGAUGUUAACCAAGGUUCCUUCCGCUGAAGAAUUUAAAGCUGCAGUUUUUGAUAUGAAUGGGGAUGGCGCUCCCGGUCCGGAUGGUUUUAGCGGCCAUUAAUUAUUUCCAAUGUUACUGACCUAUUAUUGCAACUGAUGUGGUGAAUGCAGUUAUGCAUUUCUUCUUUACUGGUAUGCUUAAUAACAAUGUUAAUUCCAAUCUGUUUGUGCUUAUACAGAAGUCACCGGGCGCUGAUAGAAUGGAAAACAUUCGACCCAUUGCUCUCGCAAAUUUUCAAUUUAAGAUAAUAACAAAACCGCCGGCGGACAGAUUGGCUUUCCUUGCUCCUUCAAUCAUUUCAACUCAGCAGCGAGGGUUCAUUCACGGGCGCAACAUUGCUGACUGGGUAAUCAUUGCGUCCGAGGCCAUAAAUGUUCUAGCUAAACGCUGCUUCGCUGGAAGUUUAGCUUUGAAAAUCGACAUUAAAAAGGUUUUCGACACGUUGGAUUCGAAUUUUCUUUUGGAGGUUUUGGAUCGUUUUGGUUUCAACUCAACUUUUUGUGGUUGGAUUCGUACAAUUCUUCAGUCAGCGUGAUUGUCCAUCCUUGUUAAUGGAAAGUCUGUUGGCUAUUUCGGUUGUACCCGAGGUGUCAGACAAGGGGAUCCACUCUCUCCCUUGUUAUUUUGCAUAGCGGAGGAAGUUGUUAGCCGAAGUUUACUGAAGGCUUUAGUGGAGGGCAGUCUUUGUCAUAUGUCUCUUUGCAGAGGGGUGCAUAUUCCAUCUCACGUGCUGUAUGCAGACGACAUAAUGAUAUUUUGCAAGGGCACGAAGAAAAAUAUCAGAGUUAUGGAGACGCCUCAGGCAAAUUAUUAACAAAGAAAAGAGCAAAUUUUAUGCAGGAUCUAUUUCAAAUGCUCGUCAGAUAGUUAUUUCCAACUUACUUGGGUUCAACUCAGGCAGUAUACCUUUUACAUACCUUGGUUGUCCUAUAUUCGUGGGUAAGCCUAAGAAAAUUCAUUUUCAAGCUUUGGCCGAUAAAAUCAAAAUCAAACUUGCUACUUGGAAAGGUUCUCUUCUCUCCAUUAUGGGUAGAGUUCAGUUGGUGCGUUCUGUGAUACAAUGGAUGCUGAUUUAUUCGUUCCAUAUCUAUCUCUGGCCUAAAAAUAUUUUACGGAAGUUAGACUCCAUGAUACACAAUUUUGUUUGGAGUGGCGACAUCAAUACUCGGAAAAUCUGCACAGUUGCAUGGAAACAAGUUUGUUCUUCCUAUGCCAAGGGAGGACUGGAGUUGCGUGCUCUGACAAAUAUGAAUAACUCACUCAUGCUUUUACUCUGCUAACUGAUGAGUAGUAAUGAGCAAUGGGCAGUGAUGUGUCGCGCUCGUUACUUGCGCCAAGGCAAACCCGCGAGUUCUUUUUUUCAUUCUUCUAUUUGGCAUGGCAUCAAAGUACACUUUAAUGAUGUGAGAAACAAUUCAUGUUGGUUGAUUGGUAACGGAGACAAAAUCUCAUAUUGGAAGGACAACUGGUUAGGCUCCUCUUUAGUGGAUUUACUCAACGUUCCUCUGUAAAUUCAUAAAUCGCUAAAUGCUUCGGUAGCGGAUAUGAUAAUUGAUGGCUCUUGGAUCAUCCCAAGCUGCAUUGCAGAGAUAGAUACUGAUGUUGUUGACUGUGUUCAUGGAGUCGUGCUUCCUAAAAUACCUCUUGAUGACAGGCUUGUCUGGACAGAUGCAAAGGACGGUUUUCCUAACGUCACAGCUGGCCUAUCGAUUUGUUUCUCCAAUUCUGAAUACAAGGAACUGGACUGAUUUUCUUUGGCAUGAUUUUGAUCCUACGUGGUUGUACUAUGGUUUCCGUAUGCGUUUUAUGUAUGGUUACUAGUGAAGCAACGCCACACCUAUUCCUCCACUGUUCAUUAGCUGUUGCGCUAUGGAAUUGGUUGGCUGAGCAGUUUCAGAUUGUUUUUAAUAUGGAUGGUAUGCAGGAUAUCUUUCAGAGUUACAAUCCGGCUUGGUGCUCUCAAGUAAAGGACCUUGCUUUAGCAGUGAUAAUUCAUACUUUUCACACAAUUUGGAUGACACGUAAUAAAUUACGUUUUAAUAAUGCCAAGGUUUCUAUUCACUCCGCCAAGAUAAAAAUUGGCACACUAAUAGCAGCUAGUUCUGCCAUGACCAAGAGCUUUGCUUCUAGCGCUACUGUUGACUUGCAGGUUUUGAGUAACAUUCAAGUUCCAGUGCAGCAACGUCCAAAGAAAAAAUCCCUCUUGGUAUUAUGGAAGGCUCCUCCUAUUUUUUGGACUAAGGUCAAUACCGAUGGUUCCUUUACUCAGACCUCUUCAGCUUGCGGAGGCAUAUUUUGUAAUCACCAUGCCAAUUAUUUAGGCAGUUUUGCGUCUUGUAUUUAUCAUAGCUCGGUUCUUUAUACGGAGAGCAUGGAAAUUGUGCUUGUAAUGGAAGAAGCGGCAGCUAGAGGGUGGUGGAAUAUUUGGUUAGAAAGUGACUCUAAGACUGCUUUAGGUGCUUUCACUAACUUUGAUAUAGUGCCGUGGGAUUUAUGAAAUCGUUGGAGCAACUGUUUUACCUUGGGUCUCAAUGCAAAGUACUCCCAUAUUUUUCGGGAAGGUAAUACAUGAGCAUAUAGGCUUGAUAGUGCAGGGCAUGCUGUUACUACUUUUACAUGGUGGGUGUCUCUUCUGUCAUGUAUCAGAGAUGAGUUUCUUCGUGAUAAGCUCGGGUUACCUAGUUACAGAAUUAUGUAGUUUACUUUGAUUGUCUUUAUUCGUGAUAAGCUCGGGUUACCUAGUUAUAGAAUUAUGUAGUUUACCCACUUUCAUAUAGGCAGCAUUAUGCUCUCUAAGAAUCAUAAAGAAAGUCCCAGACUUGGCAGAAAAUUUUGUAAAUCCUGCUGCUGCCUUACUGAGGGAGAAGCAAUGGAAUUUUGAUCACUAGGGUUCAGCUUUGUACAGAGCUAUGUAAAAUCAGCUCAGAAGCUCUUGAACUUAUUAGAAAGAAUAUCAAGAUAUCAUCGGCAUACAAUACAUGUGACGGGAUAACCACUCCUCUGCAGAACCUCAUGGGAUUAAUGCUGCCAGCGCUAUAUGCAGUAGACAAGCUGC